rnacentral:rRNA from 1 species
AUAUAGGUCAAGCUACAAAGGGCGCAUGGUGAAUGCCUUGGCAUCAGGAGCCGAUGAAGGACGUGAUAAGCUGCGAUAAGCUUCGGGUAGGCGCACAUAGCCUGGGAUCCGAAGAUCUCCGAAUGAGGAAACUCACAUGGGAAACCCCAUGUAUCAUUAAGUGAAUACAUAGCUUAAUGAAGGUAACCCAGGGAACUGAAACAUCUAAGUACCUGGAGGAAGAGAAAGAAAAAUCGAUUUUCUUAGUAGCGGCGAGCGAAAGGGAAAGAGCCCAAACCGGAAACUUGUUUCCGGGGUUGUGGACAUAGCAUAAAAGUGGAGGCUAUUGUAACUGAAGAGAACUGGAAAGUUCCACCGUAGAAGGUAAUAGUCCUGUAAGUGAAACGAGAAGACCACGAGUUAUGAUCCAGAGUACCACGAGACACGUGAAACCUUGUGGGAAGCAGGGAGGACCACCUCCCAAGGCUAAAUACUACCUGAUGACCGAUAGUGAAGCAGUACCGUGAGGGAAAGGUGAAAAGAACCCCGGGAGGGGAGUGAAAUAGAACCUGAAACCGUGUGCCUACAACCGCUCAGAGCCCCUUAUGAGGGUGAUGAGGUGCUUUUUGUAGAACGAGCCAACGAGUUACGGUAUGUAGCAAGGUUAAGUACUUAAGGUACGGAGCCGAAGGGAAACCGAGUCUGAAUAGGGCGACUAGUUGCAUGCCGUAGACCCGAAACCGGGUGACCUAUCCAUGGCCAGGUUGAAGCGAGGGUAAAACCUCGUGGAGGACCGAACCACGUUGCUGUUGAAAAAGCAUGGGAUGAGCUGUGGAUAGCGGAGAAAUUCCAAUCGAACCCGGAGAUAGCUGGUUCUCUCCGAAAUAGCUUUAGGGCUAGCGUCGAGUAUGAGUAGUGGAGGUAGAGCACUGAAUGGGCUAGGGGGCAUAGCGCUUACCGAACCUUAUCAAACUCCGAAUGCCACAUACUUUGAGCUCGGCAGUCAGACCACGAAUGAUAAGAUCCGUGGUCAAAAGGGAAACAGCCCAGAUCGUCAGCUAAGGUCCCAAAGUGUAAGUUAAGUGGGAAAGGAUGUGAGAUUUCUAAGACAACUAGGAUGUUGGCUUAGAAGCAGCCAUUCAUUAAAAGAGUGCGUAAUAGCUCACUAGUCGAGAGAUCUUGCGCCGAAAAUGUAACGGGGCUAAGCUUACCACCGAAGCUACGGGCUUGAACUUAGUUCAAGCGGUAGGAGAGCGUCGUAACCGGGCUGAAGUCGUACCGUAAGGAGCGGUGGACUGGUUACGAGUGAGAAUGUUGGCAUCAGUAGCGAGAUGUGGGUGAGAAUCCCACAGGCCGAAAACCUAAGGUUUCCUCAGGAAGGUUCGUCCGCUGAGGGUUAGUCGGGACCUAAGCCGAGGCCGAAAGGCGUAGGUGAUGGACAACUGGUUGAUAUUCCAGUACCACUACCAUCGUUAUUAUCGAUGGCGUGACGCAGGAGGAUAGUGUGUGCUAGCUAUUGGAUGCUAGUCUAAGCGUUUAGGCAGUGAGAGUAGGCAAAUCCGCUCUCAUAAUGCUGAGGCGUGAUGGGGAAGGUUCCACGGAACCGAAGUACAUGAUUCCACGCUGCCAAGAAAAGCGUCUAGAGAGAGAAGUAGUGCCCGUACCGCAAACCGACACAGGUAGGUGAGGAGAGAAUCCUAAGGCCGGCGGAAGAAUUACAGUUAAGGAACUCGGCAAAUUGACCCCGUAAGUUCGCGAGAAGGGGUGCCUACGAGAGUAGGCCGCAGAGAAUAGGCCCAAGCAACUGUUUAGCAAAAACACAGGUCUCUGCUAAAGCGUAAGCUGAUGUAUAGGGGCUGACGCCUGCCCGGUGCUGGAAGGUUAAGGGGAACACUUAGCGCAAGCGAAGGUGUGAACUUAAGCCCCAGUAAACGGCGGCCGUAACUAUAACGGUCCUAAGGUAGCGAAAUUCCUUGUCAGGUAAGUUCUGACCCGCACGAAUGGCGUAAUGACUUGGGCACUGUCUCAACUGUAAAUCCGGCGAAGUUGUAGUGCGAGUGAAGAUGCUCGCUACCCGCGAUUGGACGGAAAGACCCCGUAGAGCUUUACUGUAGCUUAGCAUUGAGUUUUGGUAUUGUCUGUACAGGAUAGGUGGGAGACUAGGAAACCAGGGCGUCAGCCUUGGUGGAGUCAACCUUGGGAUACCACCCUGACAGUACUGAAAUUCUAACUGGCGGCCAUGAAUCUGGUCACAGGACAUUGUUAGGUGGGCAGUUUGACUGGGGCGGUCGCCUCCUAAAAAGUAACGGAGGCGCCCAAAGGUUCCCUCAGAACGGUCGGAAAUCGUUCGAAGAGUGCAAAGGCAGAAGGGAGCCUGACUGCGACACCCACAAGUGGAGCAGGGACGAAAGUCGGGCUUAGUGAUCCGGUGGUACCUCGUGGGAGGGCCAUCGCUCAACGGAUAAAAGCUACCUCGGGGAUAACAGGCUGAUCUCCCCCAAGAGUCCACAUCGACGGGGAGGUUUGGCACCUCGAUGUCGGCUCGUCGCAUCCUGGGGCUGAAGUAGGUCCCAAGGGUUGGGCUGUUCGCCCAUUAAAGCGGCACGCGAGCUGGGUUCAGAACGUCGUGAGACAGUUCGGUCCCUAUCCGUCGCGGGCGUAGGAAAUUUGAGAGGAGCUGUCCUUAGUACGAGAGGACCGGGAUGGACUGACCUCUGGUGUACCAGUUGUUCCGCCAGGAGCACAGCUGGGUAGCUAAGUCGGGAAUGGAUAAACGCUGAAAGCAUCUAAGCGUGAAGCCAACCUCAAGAUGAGAUUUCCCAUAGCGUAAGCUAGUAAGAUCCCUUGAAGAACACAAGGUUGAUAGGUCGGGGGUGUAAGCAUGGUAACAUGUUCAGCUGACCGAUACUAAUAGAUCGAGGGCUUGACCAAAU